UACGUAGGGGGCAAGCGUUGUCCGGAUUUAUUGGGCGUAAAGAGCGUGUAGGCGGCCAGGUAGGUCGGUUGUGAAAACUCGAGGCUCAACCUCGAGAUGUCGACCGAAACCAUCUGGCUAGAGUCCGGAAGAGGAGAAUGGAAUUCCCGGUGUAGCGGUGAAAUGCGCAGAUAUCAGGAAGAACACCCGUGGCUAAGGCGGCUCUCUAGUACGGUACUGACGCUGAGACGCGAAAGCGUGGGGAGCGAACAGG
rnacentral:rRNA from 1 species